UAGGGAAUCUUCGGCAAUGGACGAAAGUCUGACCGAGCAACGCCGCGUGAGUGAAGAAGGUUUUCGGAUCGUAAAACUCUGUUGUUAGAGAAGAACAAGGACGUUAGUAACUGAACGUCCCCUGACGGUAUCUAACCAGAAAGCCACGGCUAACUACGUGCCAGCAGCCGCGGUAAUACGUAGGUGGCAAGCGUUGUCCGGAUUUAUUGGGCGUAAAGCGAGCGCAGGCGGUUUCUUAAGUCUGAUGUGAAAGCCCCCGGCUCAACCGGGGAGGGUCAUUGGAAACUGGGAGACUUGAGUGCAGAAGGGGAGAGUGGAAUUCCAUGUGUAGCGGUGAAAUGCGUAGAUAUAUGGAGAAACACCAGUGGCGAAGGCGGCUCUCUGGUCUGUAACUGACGCUGAGGCUCGAAAGCGUGGUGAGCAAACAGG
rnacentral:rRNA from 1 species